UGGAUGAUUUAACCGAUUCUUACUUGUUUAAAAGUGUUCUAACAUGUUUUCUGUUAAAUAUGCUGUGUUUGUUUGGAUAAUUCCACAGGAACCGUCAACAGCGGACUUGAAUAGAUGAUGUGCGAGUUCAUUGAUGGAUUUGCCUGCACUCAUGCGUCAUCACGGUAUAAAGGAUUUUAAUCUAAAAAGAAACCCUGCAGAUUUGCAGCUGUGCAGAAUGCAGUUCAUGCCAUAUGCUGUUAGAGUAAAUGAUGAAAGAUGUUCAAACCAGUGUCAAAGAUUCCUAAGACUGAAAUCAUAGUGCUUUUAUUAAGGAGAUCAGUGUAUGUUUUCUGUGCAUUGUUGACAUUUGUGGAACUGUUCAGUUUAUGACCAUCUCUCUGACAAUAACUCUGACAUUUGAAUUUCAAUUUGAGCGUCGAAUAAGAAAGUCAAAUUAAAUGCAUGUAAAACAUUAUACUACGGUAAUAAAAACAUUGAUAAACUUAAAUUUAAACAAAGUUCAUGUACAUGUAUCUGUGAUAUUUGAAUUAAAAUUCAUAAAUGCUGUACAUGGAUACUUUUAAUGACUUUGUCUCAUGGUAAUGGAAUAUUCAAUUGUUAAACAUUGUUGAGGAAUCACCUUGAAUAAAAAUGUUGUGUACUUGAUAAA